UUAAUCUGCUUCCUUGCUACCUCAGGAAGAUAAGAUUCAUUCUUCAAUCUGGUCUAUUGCUAUCUCAGAGAGAUGAGGCUGGUGAUAAAAUUUGCUCCAUUGCCAAUACAUGAAGAUAAGAUUCACCAUUCUUGAUCUGCUCCACUGCAAUCUCAGUGAAAUAAGAUCUUCAAAUCUCAGUCUGCUUCCUUGCUACCCCAGGAAGAUAAGACUCAUUCUUCAACCUGCUCUCUUGCUACCUUAGAGAGAUGAGGCUGGUGAUAAAAUCUGCUCCAUUACCGAUACAUGAAGAUAAGAUUCACUAUCUGCAAAAAUCUGCUCUGCUGCAACUCAGAGAUAUAAGAUCUUCAAAUCUCAGUCUGCUUCCUUGCUACCUCAGGAAGAUAAGACUCAUUCUUCAAACUUUCCUUGCUACCUCAAGAAGAUAAGACUCAUUCUUCAACUUGCUCUCUUGCUACCUCAGAGAGAUGAGGCUGGUGAUAGAAUCUACUCUGCUGCAACUUUAGGGAGAUAAGAUCUUCAAUCUUCAGUCUACUCCACUGCAACCUCAAGGAUAUAAGACUUGUUAUGAUCUACUUUACUGUAACUGGCACUUCAACCUGCUCCA
rnacentral:lncRNA from 1 species